CAGUUUACUGCGCGCCCCCGAGGGCCGGGGCUUCCCCUUCCCCGCCCCCUUGGCUUUCGCAGUCAAAUCCCGCUCUCCGCCCGCCGCCCGCGGAAGUCUCACCGCGCAGCAGCACCCCCAGCCCGGGCGGUUCCGGGGACCGAAGGGCGCGGCACGUAGGGGGCCCGUAGGAUCCAAACUGCGGAGGAGAAGCAGGAGGAGGGAGGAGGAAGAAGACAAAGGAGCAGCUUCUAGUUGCAGCUCAAGACCCGCGAGUUCACCCUCCGCGCCAAGCACCCAACUCCCGGCUCUGCCUACAGUCACCCACAGACCUAAUGAUCGACUAAGCGCCGUAAUGGCCCGAGAUGACACCAGGAGACUCCCUUGCUGUGCGCCUCCGGAAGACGCGGAACGUAGCCCCUUUCUCACACUCCUGGGACACAAAAAUACCCGACAACUCAAAGUCGCCAAACCACAUCUUUUCAUGCUUUGAAGACUUCUGCCCAAGGCUGUGGCAGGAGUAUGUCCAACUGUGAUUUGGGAUUCUUUUUAAACAUCGAAUCAAAGGGAAGAGGGGAGGGAUUCGCAACUAAAUGGUAGUUGUUUUCAAGCAAGUCUUUACGUAGCCCCAAACCUACUCUAGUAUUCGGUGAUUCAGCCCCAAAACAUCUCUGCCUGCCUUUAUGUUCGGAUCUCACUCCAUUAUUUGUCAGCACCAAGUACUAAACCCACAAAGCGAUCGCUGUACGGGACACCAAACCCAUACCUGCCCGUCCCCUACCUUCCAGGCAACCAGUGUCAAUCUCCUCACUAUACAUAAUUCCCAACAUCCCUGCCCGAAGUGAGGAGAACGGUAAUUUAAAUAAUACAGCGGGGGAGGAGAGGACACACUGUUUUUGAAAGACUGUAAGCAUUCUGCUGUUCCACUCUGCGUCCUUACACUUGCUGAGCACUGACACCAAAUUUAAAUGGCGUUCCUUCAAAACUGAUGUAAUUGUAAAGAGCUGUAAAGGGCAAUGACCUCAAGUGGAUGUUUUUUCCCAGGUACCCUACAAGGUUUGCACAAAGCAAGAAAGCAUCAUGUAACCGAAAUGCUGAAAAGUAUAGAUGCUGCAAAACCUCAUUCUGAGACUGAGAACUAUGAAUAGUCAGUGUAUUUCCUUCUGCGGUGCAGAAAAAGAACAACCAAAAAGAAAGCAACAAGGGGAGAUGUUAUUUAUUUUAAUGACACCAAAACUACCAAUCCUAGCAAUUUAAUAAAUUAAAAUCAUAGUCCUUUAAAUGU
rnacentral:lncRNA from 10 species